GGGAACAAAGAGUACCAUGCUCACAACUGGAAAACAUGAGUUCAAUAAUAUUUCAACUAAAUUUAUCGCCUGCGAGCGUUCAAAACUCAUUUUCAACGCAAAAAACUAUAAAAUAAUGCUUCCUGACUUGUUCCACCCCAACCAUGCUAGCACUUUGAGACGAUCAUCAGAAAAGCUUUAGAAGAUCUCUAUGCAGAAGAUUUCACAGUAGCAGCUUUGAUGAUGUCCACAAACUCCGGC
rnacentral:misc_RNA from 1 species